GACGAACGCUGGCGGCGUGCUUAACACAUGCAAGUCGAACGGAAAGGCUCCAGCUUGCUGGAGUACUCGAGUGGCGAACGGGUGAGUAACACGUGGGUAAUCUGCCCUGCACUCUGGGAUAAGCCUGGGAAACUGGGUCUAAUACUGGAUAUGACCUUUCUCCUUAUGGGGUUUGGUGGAAAGUUUUUCGGUGUAGGAUGAGCCCGCGGCCUAUCAGCUUGUUGGUGGGGUGAUGGCCUACCAAGGCGACGACGGGUAGCCGGCCUGAGAGGGUGAUCGGCCACAUUGGGACUGAGAUACGGCCCAGACUGCUACGGGAGGCAGCAGUGGGGAAUAUUGCACAAUGGGCGGAAGCCUGAUGCAGCGACGCCGCGUGAUGGAUGACGGCCUUCGGGUUGUAACCCUCUUUCAGCAGGGACGAAGCGUAAGUGACGGUACCUUCAGAAGAAGCACCGGCUAACUACGUG
rnacentral:rRNA from 1 species